rnacentral:rRNA from 1 species
AUGAACGCUGGCGGCGUGCCUAAUACAUGCAAGUCGAGCGAACAGACGAGGAGCUUGCUCCUCUGACGUUAGCGGCGGACGGGUGAGUAACACGUGGAUAACCUACCUAUAAGACUGGGAUAACUUCGGGAAACCGGAGCUAAUACCGGAUAAUAUAUUGAACCGCAUGGUUCAAUAGUGAAAGACGGUUUUGCUGUCACUUAUAGAUGGAUCCGCGCCGCAUUAGCUAGUUGGUAAGGUAACGGCUUACCAAGGCGACGAUGCGUAGCCGACCUGAGAGGGUGAUCGGCCACACUGGAACUGAGACAUGGUCCAGACUCCUACGGGAGGCAGCAGUAGGGAAUCUUCCGCAAUGGGCGAAAGCCUGACGGAGCAACGCCGCGUGAGUGAUGAAGGUCUUCGGAUCGUAAAACUCUGUUAUUAGGGAAGAACAAAUGUGUAAGUAACUAUGCACGUCUUGACGGUACCUAAUCAGAAAGCCACGGCUAACUACGUG